CCCAGGAGAUGGAGGCUGCAAUGAGCUGAGAUCAUGCCACUGCACUCCAGCCUGGGCUACAGAGUCAGACUUUGGCUCAAAAACGACUAUAUAUAUAUAAACGACUAUAUAUAUAAGUGUGUGUAAAAGUAAAAAUAAAAUAAAAUAAACCCAACUGUACCCCAGUCCUUCUUCAGAAGCUCCCUCUGGUUCUAAUGUGGGGUUUUCCUGCUGGUCACUUCUCAUCUUGAUAAACCCGGAACUCUCAGUGACUACUCUUGAUGGACAAUCAUUGUCUCUCAUAUUUUGUCUCUCUCUCUCUCUCAGUCUUGGUUUUAAAAAACACGUAUUUAUUGGAGAAAAUUUGAAAUUUUGUGAUUUGAAAUCAAGAUGCACAAAACAAAACAUAAGAAUCACAGAUGAGCUGUCUUCGUGAGACAAUUGCUGUUAACAAUUGGCAUGUCUUUCUAAUCUUUCAUCUAUGAUCAAAUGGACUAUUUAGCAGAAUUGGGACCAUCCAUUAUGCACUUUUGGUUUCAAAGUAUUAGCACACUGGGCUGGAGACAGGAUCUUUGGAGUCAUCCAGAAAGCCCCAAGUAUGAAAUUAUUCCAGUUCUGAACAUAGGUAUGGACUUACAGGACGAACAACGUCAGCAUAAAAAUAUGGCAAUAGGAAUGGCUGGAGACAGCAAGAAAUGGUGGUGGCCGUGAAGUCCACUGUGAAGGAGGGACUACCCACCACGUGCAUGUUUUGAGCAGGCUUUGUCCUACCAUGCCAGUGCAACCCUCUGGGCAGGGUGUUGCUGAGAACUACGCUGUGACUCUAUUUUAGUGGCCAUGCAAGCUAUGGGCUCCCUGGCCCUUGUGCAUGUAAUGGAGGGCCUGAGAGGACAUCCUGGCUCUUUGGAGGUCCUUUCUCUGCCUUAUUUUUCCUCUUUACUGUAACAUCCUUGUCCUUCAGAAAGAAAAUGAGAAUCUCCCACUGGUUAGAAUAUUCCCCUGAGUAUAUACACAGUUUCUAUUCUAAAGCAGCCAAGAAAGGAAGAGGAUUCUGACUGGUUCUAUCAGGCUUCAAGGAAAAUGGCUAUCCUGUGAAAUCUUCAAGACUUGGGAUCCUUCUCCCCCUGCUGUGCCCUGGUGCAGGGCAUUACACCAGCCUGACAGGUUGUCAUGAGUGCUUCAGCUGACAGGAGCCAGACAGAUGGAGUGACAGAGAGAAGUGGAUGUUUGGACGAACGGAGGCAGGAUGGUUCACUUCCGGGUUCUUCUUCACCACCGACUCUUCCCGUGUGUGCGAGAAUGCAGCUGACGCCCGGGAGGGUGAAGA